rnacentral:rRNA from 1 species
UUAGCAUAUCAAUAAGCGGAGGAAAAGAAACCAACAGGGAUUGCCCCAGUAACGGCGAGUGAAGCGGCAACAGCUCAAAUUUGAAAUCUGGCCUCGGCCCGAGUUGUAAUUUGCAGAGGAUGCUUCUGGCGAGGCACCGACCGAGUCCCCUGGAACGGGGCGCCAUAGAGGGUGAGAGCCCCGUAUGGUCGGACGCUUAGCCUGUGUGAAGCUCCUUCGACGAGUCGAGUAGUUUGGGAAUGCUGCUCAAAAUGGGAGGUAAAUUUCUUCUAAAGCUAAAUACCGGCCAGAGACCGAUAGCGCACAAGUAGAGUGAUCGAAAGAUGAAAAGCACUUUGAAAAGAGGGUUAAAUAGCACGUGAAAUUGUUGAAAGGGAAGCGCUUGUGACCAGACUUGCGCCUGGCCGAUCAUCCGGGGUUCUCCCCGGUGCACUCGGCCAGGCUCAGGCCAGCAUCGGUUCUCUCGGGGGGACAAAGGCUCCGGGAACGUAGCUCCCUCCGGGGAGUGUUAUAGCCCGGGGCGUAAUGCCCUCGAGGGGACCGAGGACCGCGCUUCGGCAAGGAUGCUGGCGUUACGGUCAUCAGCGACCCGUCUUGAAACACGGACCAAGGAGUCAAGGUUUUGCGCGAGUGUUUGGGUGUAAAACCCGCACGCGUAAUGAAAGUAAACGUAGGUGAGAGCUUCGGCGCAUCAUCGACCGGCCCAGAUGUUCUCGGAAGGGCCUGAGUAGGAGCGUUAAGCCUUGGACCCGAAAGAUGGUGAACUAUGCUUGGAUAGGGUGAAGCCAGAGGAAACUCUGGUGGAGGCUCGCAGCGGUUCUGACGUGCAAAUCGAUCGUCAAAUCUGAGCAUGGGGGCGAAAGACUAAUCGAACCAUCUAGUAGCUGGUUACCGCCGAA